GGGGGCUAGCGUUGCUCGGAAUCACUGGGCGUAAAGGGUGCGUAGGCGGGGCUUUAAGGCAGGGGUGAAAUCCUGGAGCUCAACUCCAGAACUGCCUUUGAUACUGAAGAUCUUGAGUCCGGGAGAGGUGAGUGGAACUGCGAGUGUAGAGGUGAAAUUCGUAGAUAUUCGCAGGAACACCAGUGGCGAAGGCGGCUCACUGGCCCGGUACUGACGCUGAGGCACGAAAGCGUGGGGAGCAAACAGG
rnacentral:rRNA from 1 species